ACACAUGCAAGUCGAGGGGAAACGACAUCGAAAGCUUGCUUUUGAUGGGCGUCGACCGGCGCACGGGUGAGUAACGCGUAUCCAACCUGCCCACCACUUGGGGAUAACCUUGCGAAAGUAAGACUAAUACCCAAUGACGUCUCUAGAAGACAUCUGAAAGAGAUUAAAGAUUUAUCGGUGAUGGAUGGGGAUGCGUCUGAUUAGCUUGUUGGCGGGGUAACGGCCCACCAAGGCAACGAUCAGUAGGGGUUCUGAGAGGAAGGUCCCCCACAUUGGAACUGAGACACGGUCCAAACUCCUACGGGAGGCAGCAGUGAGGAAUAUUGGUCAAUGGACGAGAGUCUGAACCAGCCAAGUAGCGUGCAGGAUGACGGCCCUAUGGGUUGUAAACUGCUUUUAUAAGGGAAUAAAGUGAGUCUCGUGAGACUUUUUGCAUGUACCUUAUGAAUAAGGACCGGCUAAUUCCGUGCCAGCAGCCGCGGUAAUACGGAAGGUCCGGGCGUUAUCCGGAUUUAUUGGGUUUAAAGGGAGCGUAGGCCGGAGAUUAAGCGUGUUGUGAAAUGUAGACGCUCAACGUCUGCACUGCAGCGCGAACUGGUUUCCUUGAGUACGCACAAAGUGGGCGGAAUUCGUGGUGUAGCGGUGAAAUGCUUAGAUAUCACGAAGAACUCCGAUUGCGAAGGCAGCUCACUGGAGCGCAACUGACGCUGAAGCUCGAAAGUGCGGGUAUCGAACAGGAUUAGAUACCCUGGUAGUCCGCACGGUAAACGAUGGAUGCCCGCUGUUGGUCUGAAUAGGUCAGCGGCCAAGCGAAAGCAUUAAGCAUCCCACCUGGGGAGUACGCCGGCAACGGUGAAACUCAAAGGAAUUGACGGGGGCCCGCACAAGCGGAGGAACAUGUGGUUUAAUUCGAUGAUACGCGAGGAA
rnacentral:rRNA from 1 species